GAGACUCUGUGCGCGUGCAUAUCAAUAAGCGGAGGAAAAGAAACUAACAAGGAUUCCCUUAGUAACGGCGAGUGAAGCGGGAAGAGCUCAAAUUUGAAAUCUUCAAGGUUUUACCUUGACGAAUUGUAGUUUAAAGAAGUGUUUUCUGUUGGAGUUUUGGUAAAAGUUCUUUGGAAUAGGACAUCAUAGAGGGUGAGAAUCCCGUAUUUGACCAUUAUUUCCAGCUGUGUGAUACACUUUCAAAGAGUCGGAUUGUUUGGGAAUGCAGUCCAAAAUGGGUGGUAAAUUUCAUCUAAAGCUAAAUAUUGGCGAGAGACCGAUAGCGAACAAGUACCGUGAGGGAAAGAUGAAAAGAACUUUGAAAAGAGAGUUAAGCAGUACGUGAAAUUGUCAAAAGGGAAGCGUUUGACACCAGUGUUGUUUUCUCGAAAAUCAAUUAAAAAAUGGCUGGGAUUUUGUGUUGUAUUGACCUUAUAAGCUUUCUGCACUCUUUUCUUGUCUUUUUUAAUGCACUUUUCGUUUAACAAGUCAACAUCAAUUUCUUUUGUUGUAAAAGAGUCAUUGGAAGGUGGCUUUCAUUUCCGGUGAAAGUGUUUAUAGCCUUUGACCUCUGCAAUCGGAGAGAUUGAGGUCUGCAGCGUAGAUCCUUCGGGUUAGAUACAGUUUGUGCUAAGUUAUAGUUUUUCAUAGACAACAUGUUGACUAUGAUUAAUCAUGUAGCUUACUCGCUUAUGCUAUUUUACCUACGCUUAGGAUGUUGAUCUGUAGUGCGUGCGC
rnacentral:rRNA from 1 species